UAUCUGCAGCUCCCUGGCCCUUCAGCAGCUCCUCUUCACCUGCCUGGGAGUUGGGCAUCCUUCAGCUUCACAGUCACCAUGGCAAUUACUGACUAUAUUUGUGUACAAGCCAAACAGUUGAUACACAAGUCAAAAGUGAGAGAACCUAUCCCUGGUAACCAUCCAUCUGCUGAGUCACUGGUUCCACAUUAGAGGAGGCUGCAGUGUACUGUUAUUCCACUGUCAUACUUUUUUCACCCAAACGGCACAAUUUAUUGGGAUUUUAGAUUUUAGGUGUGUCAUGCUAGAAACAACAUGCUCAAGCCAGAUCAAAGCCAUCCCCCCUCUGGUGAUCAGUUAGUUCCAAGCCUGUACUGCAGAGAUAACAGAAACAGCGGUCUUGAUCCUUGGGUUGGGGUGAACAGUGCACAUUGCAGGCCCCUAAAUGGUGGUAAAGGUGGCUUUAUAGCACAGCUGCUCUCCUCAAUUCCCUGAGCUUGGUGGGGUCAAGCAGCCUCAGGGCUGCUCUAAGGGGCCACAGUGAGUGCUGGAGAUCUCUUGUACUAAGGCAAUACCUAGCUGGCCCAUUAGGCCAGCUUUAAAGCUCCUUUGUGCUGCUGUAUUUACCAAAGCUGCUGCUUUAUCAGGAUCAAGGAUUUGACUCACUGUUUGAAGUAUGGAAAGAUUCCACAGACAUGGAUCUGAUGGAAGAAUUUAACGUUCAGUUUACUGAAAAUCUCCUGAAUACGGCCCUUAAAUUCACUAUCACAUUUUUUAAAAAAUGUAGUUAUUCUGUAAUGGAACAGUGAGUCAAUGUUACUUAUCUUGCCCAGCAUCCCUCUUAAAAAAUGAUUACAUGUACGUCCAUAAUUUGACAGAAAAAAAUAAAGUCACUGGAAUGCAACACUCAUAGGCUCAAUGUAAAAGUAAAUAUUUUGGCUGUUCCUCACCAAUCAUUUCUUAUUAACUGCUUCCCUUUCUCCCUGGAAUUUUAUGCAGCAGCAGGAGACCAUUACCCUGUAACAAUAUUCUGUUCCGCUUGACUUUAUCUUUUAAAUUAUCAAACCCUGGGUGACCUAUAGUUUAAGUACCUGUCUGGUAACUGGUAUGCCUGAUAUCCAUGGUCUUUCAUAACUGCGUGUAGCAUAGAUGGAAGAUAGGGUUUUCUGUCUCUGUUCUUGCCUGGCAUGUUGCUCUCGUUUCUUCUCAGUUUGUUCUCUAUUCUGCUCCUGUCUUCUCAGGCAAGCCUAAGGAACAAAACACAUUCUUUGUCUGGAAUAAGAGAGAGAUUUUUACUUCUGAAUAACUUGAGUCUUACUUCUAGCUACAGUCCACCUGGACAAGACAGUCUCAUCUCCAAUUGUUCUGUACUCACACCGGUCACAAAAUACAUCAUAGGAUGAAAGAAUUAACCUAUUGACUGUCUAAGCCUAACACUAAUCGGAAUAAUUACCUGACUUGGUGCUUCAAUAAUCCUGGUAAAUGUAAACAACUAAUAAACUGUGCAGCAGCUCAUCAGA